UACGAAGGAUGCUAGCGUUGUUCGGAAUUACUGGGCGUAAAGCGCGCGUAGGCGGCUUAGCAAGUCAGGGGUGAAAUCCCACAGCUCAACUGUGGAAUUGCCUUUGAAACUGCUAAGCUUGAGUGUCGGAGGGGAUAGCGGAAUUGCUAAUGUAGAGGUGAAAUUCGUAGAUAUUAGCAGGAACACCGGUGGCGAAGGCGGCUAUCUGGACGACAACUGACGCUGAGGCGCGAAAGCGUGGGGAUCAAACAGG
rnacentral:rRNA from 1 species